rnacentral:rRNA from 1 species
CCUACGGGAGGCAGCAGUAGGGAAUCUUCCGCAAUGGACGAAAGUCUGACGGAGCAACGCCGCGUGAACGAUGAAGGCCUUCGGGUCGUAAAGUUCUGUUGUUAGGGAAGAACAAGUGCUAGUUGAAUAAGCUGGCACCUUGACGGUACCUAACCAGAAAGCCACGGCUAACUACGUGCCAGCAGCCGCGGUAAUACGUAGGUGGCAAGCGUUGUCCGGAAUUAUUGGGCGUAAAGCGCGCGCAGGCGGUUUCUUAAGUCUGAUGUGAAAGCCCCCGGCUCAACCGGGGAGGGUCAUUGGAAACUGGGAAACUUGAGUGCAGAAGAGGAAAGUGGAAUUCCAAGUGUAGCGGUGAAAUGCGUAGAGAUUUGGAGGAACACCAGUGGCGAAGGCGACUUUCUGGUCUGUAACUGACGCUGAGGCGCGAAAGCGUGGGGAGCAAAACAGGAUUAGAUACCCUGGUAGUCCACGCUGUAAACGAUGAGUGCUAAGUGUUAGAGGGUUUCCGCCCUUUAGUGCUGAAGUUAACGCAUUAAGCACUCCGCCUGGGGAUACGGUCGCAAGACUGAAACUCAAAGGAAUUGACGG